rnacentral:misc_RNA from 1 species
GAUGAAGAACGUAGCGAAAUGCGAUACGUAAUGUGAAUUGCAGAAUUCAGUGAAUCAUCGAAUCUUUGAACGCAUAUUGCGCUCUCUGGUAUUCCGGAGGGCAUGCUUGUUUGAGUAUCAGUAAACACCUCAACUUCCAUAUCUUUUUUGAAAUGGGAGUUGGACUUGAGUGAUCCCAACGCUUUUCCUCACCGAAAAGUGGCGGGUUACUUGAAAUGCAGGUGCAGCUGGACUUUUCUCUGAGCUAUAAGCAUAUCUAUUUAGUCUGCCUAAAAAACAGAUUAUUACCUUUGCUGCAGCUAACAUAAAGGAGAUUAGUUCUUGUGCUGACUGAUGCAGGAUUCACAAAGACAGGCUUCGGCCGACUUUGUAAACUCGAUCUCAAAUCAAGUAAGACUACCCGCUGAACUUAAGCAUAUCAAUAAGCGGAGGA